GUGAAGCACUGAGGCAUGAGAACAUGAAGCCUGCAGGUGUCCAUGUGAGACCAGGGCCAGGGAGGGGAUAUAGGCUCUGAGGGAGCACGUACCAGGGGCCCAGAUGUCUGUAGGACGAGUGUCACAGAAGCUUCUUGGAGGAGGCGGUGGCUAAGCUGAGUUCUACAGGCUCAGCUCCCCACCAUGUGUAGAAGAAGCAGCCUUCCACAGGCUUCUCCACAGACUUUCCUUGGGCCCUCUCCUGGCUGGGCACGCCUGAGUCAGGGAACUGUUCGGCCAUGGAAGCAAAUGAGAUCACCUUUUGGAGAGUGUGGAGUGAAAAGGGAAAAGGAGGAGAGUCAAAUCCAGAAUUCUGAAAAGGGCCCCCAAUGGAGGCACAGCCAGAGGUAAGAGUCAAAUCAGG
ensembl:lncRNA